CAUCUGAGUGAUUUGACUCUCCUGCCUGGACCCAGUGUACAGAUGGGAUUGUGCUUUAUUGCUGGACCCAGCAUUUAGGCCCACUACCUCUGGGAUUGCAUGCUCCUGCCUGGGCUGUGCCCACAGUGACCUUGUGACAUAUAUGUGCAUCCAUGACCUAAAAGAUGUGACACUUCUUGCCUGCAACCUGCCCUGCACAGGAAAGAUUGUGACUUCUCCCUGGAACCAGAUACCAGGGAACGUCACUCCUGUGGAUGAUCAAAGCUACUCAGGGGGCUGAGGCAGGAGAAUCGCUUGAACUCGGGAAGCAGACGUUGCAGUGAGCCAAGGUCGCACCACUGCACUCCAGCCCAGGCAACAGUGUGAGACUCCACAUCAAAAAGAAAAAGAAAAAAAGUGUACUAACAAGACCCAGCACACAGAGGAGACUUUUACCAUUAUAUGAACACCCAUCAAACAGUACACAUCAUCAUUGUGAGUUCUGAAUCUCACACAUAGAGGAAGUCAAAGGUGGAAAAAUUGACUCUCAUAGUUGGAUCCAGUCCACAGCUUCUGCUAGCAAGGAAGACUGAGACAUAUUGUGGGGCUCUACGCCAAUGUGACAUUACUGUUUUGCCUUGGCCUGUACCUGAAAAGGCAUUGUGACAUAUUGCUGGGCCCAGCAACAAGGUGACAUGAGUCUUCCGUAUGGACCCUGACAACAGAGCAUUGUGACAUAUCUUUAAGAGCAUCAACUAUUUGAUGUGACUCUCCCUUUCUACCAAGGCUUUCCUCAUAUGAGAGAUUGUGACACAUCUUCUGGCACAGAAAUCAAGUGAUGUGUUUCUCCUGCCUGAGCUUUGCUCAUAGGGAGCAUUGUGACAUAUUGCUGGUCUCAGCACCCAGGUGUGAUUUUGACACACACUUCUGCCUAGCACCUGAGUAAUGUGAUUCUUCAGAAUUGGCCCAGCCUAUAGAUAGGAUUGUGCCACACUGCUGGACCCAGCACCUAAGUGAUGUAACUCUAUUCUUCUGCCUUGGUGCUACUCGAAAAAGACAUUGUAACAUAUCUCAGAGCCUUGCACCCAAGUAAUGUGAGUCUCCUCUUCUGCCUUUCUGCUGCACACAGAAGCAAGAUAUGUACAGGAUUGUUAAUCUCAUCUUGGACCUUCCUGCACAUGUGAUUGUGACACAUGCCUCUGUGUAGAACCUGAGUGAGUUUACUCUCCUGCCUGGAUUUAACCCAUAGAUGGAAUUGUGACAUAUCGCUGUACCAGAAACUAGGUGAUGUGACUCUAUUUUCUUGCCUCUGUGUUUUUAUAUGGGGCAUCGUGACAUAUCACUGGGCCUUGCACCCAAGUGAUGGGAGUUUUCUCUCCUGCUUUGGUGCUGUCCACAAUGAAAAUUGUGAAAUAUUGCUGCCCUCCCCGCUAGGUUAUGUUACUCUCCUGCCUCUGCUUUGCCCACAUGGGUCACUGUAACAUAUUGCUGGGUCUAAAACCCAGGUAAUGUCACUCUCUUGUUUGGGUUCUGCCUGCAGGAGUCAUUGUCACAUAUCUCUGUGCUCAUCACCCAGGUAAUAUGACUCCCUUUUACUGCUUAGUUCCUUCUCACAAAACAACUUGUGACAUAUUGCUAGGCCCAAUACACCUAGCUGGUGUAAUUCUUCUUUUUCUUUUUUUUUUUUUUUUUUUGAGAUGGAGUCUCACUCUGUUGUCCAGGCUGGAGUGCAGUGGCAUGAUUUCAGCUCACUACAGCCUCUGCCUCCUAGGUUGAAGCGAUUGUCCUGCCUUAGCCUCCCAAGUAGCUGGGAUUAAAGGCAUGUGCCACCACGCCCGGCUAAUUUUUGUAUUUAUAGUAGAGACAGGGUUUCGCCAUGUUGGCUAGGCUGGAUUCGAACUUCUAACCUCAGGUGAUCCUCCCACCUCGGCCUCCCAAAGUACUGGGAUUACAGGCAUGAGCCACUGCACUUGGCCUGACUCUUCUCUUCUUUCUAGGUUUCAACUGCAGCAAAGAUUGUAAAAAACCACUGGGCCCAGCCGCAUAAUGACGUUACUCUUUUGCCUUGGGCCUGCCCUCAGAAGGCACUGUCACAUAUUCAUGGGCCCAACGCCAAGGUGAUAUGUGUCUCCAGCCUGGACCCUGCCCACAGGGGCCAUUGUGACAUAUCUCUUGGCCCAUCAGAUGUUUGAUGUUAUCCCCUCCCCUCUUCUACCCUGUGUUUGCCUAUAAGAGACAGAGUCACAUGUUCCUGGGCCCAGCACCUAAGUGAUGUCUUCCUGGAAUGUGUCCACAUGGGGAUUGUGAUAUGUCACGUGGCGCAGUACUUAACUUGAUGUGACUCUCCUCUCAUGCCUAGGCCUUGUAGAGAAUCCCCUUCCCCUUUUGUUUUCCUUUCUUUCUUUGCAGAUCCAGGAGAUAAUCAACUAAGAGCCAGGUACCCGUUUAGGUCUAAUAAGAAACAUUUUACAACCUGC
rnacentral:lncRNA from 1 species